AGUGAACGCUGGCGGUAGGCCUAACACAUGCAAGUCGAACGGCAGCACAGUAAGAGCUUGCUCUUACGGGUGGCGAGUGGCGGACGGGUGAGGAAUACAUCGGAAUCUACUUUUUCGUGGGGGAUAACGUAGGGAAACUUACGCUAAUACCGCAUACGACCUACGGGUGAAAGCAGGGGAUCUUCGGACCUUGCGCGAUUGAAUGAGCCGAUGUCGGAUUAGCUAGUUGGCGGGGUAAAGGCCCACCAAGGCGGCGAUCCGUAGCUGGUCUGAGAGGAUGAUCAGCCACACGGGAACUGAGACACGGUCCAGACUCCUACGGGAGGCAGCAGUGGGGAAUAUUGGACAAUGGGCGCAAGCCUGAUCCAGCCAUACCGCGUGGGUGAAGAAGGCCUUCGGGUUGUAAAGCCCUUUUGUUGGGAAAGAAAAGCAGCAGGUUAAUACCCCGCUGUUCUGACGGUACCCAAAGAAUAAGCACCGGCUAACUUCGUG
rnacentral:rRNA from 1 species